AGGAGCGUCCGCUUCUGCGCAGGCGCCCCCAGUAAGCGUGGGCGGGAGGGGACGGAAGGAGGAGGAGGAAGAGGGGCGGGCAAAUUUGGAACUAGCCAAUGACAGCAGCACUGGCUGCUAUCUGGAUCCACGCGGAACCAGGGGAGGACGAGAGCAGGGGCCGAAGGGAGGGGUCCGGAGCCCGCAGCCCGGGAGGGAAGACGGAAGUAGAGCGAGGACAAAAUGGCCGCGAAGGUUGUUGCGCCCCUCCCCACCCAGUCCUCAUUCUGUUUCCCCCAACCCCUACUUCGGCGUUGUAUAGGAUCCUCUAGGCCCUCCCUCCCGGAUUCCAUGUUCCCACGUUUCCUACCUACUGUGGCUUUGGGCUAGGACUGAACACUAGGACCCGGGGGGGUGGGUACCGACCGCUGGGCGCUGCUAGGGUGACUUGCCCGGGGGUACACAGAUCUGGGGCUAGAGGGACCGAGCUCAAGCGGGGUGGGACAGGUUAGCCAGGCCGACCCCUAGAAUUUUCAGUCACCGUGCAGGUGAAGGCCGGCAGCCCUCGAGGCAGCGGUUGGAGGGGGUCCGGCCUCUCAGAACCACCUGGGCCGGAUCCUGUGCCUGAACCCUCAGCGAAAUAAAGGUCCAGACCCGCUUCCCUGAGUCCAGACUCCGCCACGCCCCACCUCCCGCCAAAACAGAAACACAUGUAACUACACAACUCCAGAAAGAGGAAGAUGUGUGCUGUGGGAGGCUCCUUUCAAUUUUCUUUGGUAUCUACAAUCUUCCUUUUCCCACUCAACCUAUCAAGUACAGUCUCUGAACUAUACCCUACAUUUUGCAGCUUUUAACCUCUGGACUACCUGCAACAUUUUAAUUAUUGAAGCAUUGGAAAAUAAAACAAGGGCCCAGGGCGCCUGGGUGGCUCAGUUGGUUAAGCGGCUGCCUUCGGCUCAGGUCAUGAUCCUGGAGUCCCGGGAUCGGGUCCCGCAUCGGGCUCCCUGCUCGGCAGGGAGCCUGCUUCUCCCUCUGACCCUCUUCCCUCUGGUGCUCUCUGUCUCUCAUUCUCUCUCUCAAAUAAAUAAAUAAAAAUCUUAAAAAAAAAAAAAAUAAAACAAGGGCCCAGAUUCAGUGGCUUGGACUAUCCCACCUAACAGCA